GGAAAGUUGCAAAGUACUUUGAAGAGAGAGUUCAAGAGGACGUGAAACCGGUAGGAUGGAAGCAGAUGAAGUUGACGAACGUGUGUCGUAUUCAGAAUCGCUGUCAGCGGUUUGUUUUUACGGCCGAUGUGGGCCGGCGGCUUUGGUCAAUGCAACGCGUCUAGCGUCGAUGGAGACCCUGCGGAGGGAUAAUCGGUCGGCGUACGGUGCUUGGUAUGGCUAAGGUUUCGCCGGUCUUAAAGUCAGCGCCUCAUCUGACCCGUCUUGAAACACGGACCAAGGAGUGUAGCCGUUUGCGCAAGUCUUAUAGUGUGUCGAAACUUUGAGGCGUAACGAAAGUAAAUGCAGUUUAACCUGCUGACUUGGGAUGCGUUGUCUCCUGUGGACGGCGCUGGACCAUGGUUUUAUCGCGAUCGCUUGCGAUGCGGUGAAAAUAGAGCGUAAACGGUGCGACCCGAAA
rnacentral:rRNA from 1 species